AAGUCCACGUGGCUUCUUCCGAGAGAAAGUCCCUUCCCAAAUGAAUCCUGGGUAUCUAGUAUUGGCUACAGCACAAACAAAGGACGUAAUGACUGCUGUACACCUGAGAAAGAUUUUAGCAGCUUGUUUGGAGAAAUGUCCUAGCAGUACAACUAUAUAUUAUGUUAGUGGGUGUUGCUUACAGAUCACCUCCAAUUGAUCAUGACCAACCAUGCAAAAGAUGCCUCGAAACUGAGAGGAACGUUGAGGAGCUGAGUGAAGAAAACAAACGUCUCAGAAAAGAAAUAAAGUGUGUAGGUUCUAUUUAUAUUGUGAACGAUCACGAUUCCAUCAAAAGUUUUUAAAAUUUUAGUUCAAAUACCUAUUUAACUGUCAAAUGGAGAUAUGCGUAAAAUGAACAUUAUUGUUCACUUUCUUAUUCAUCCAUAUGGUCCAUUCAGUAUUCAACUUGUGGGUAAGUUUACCUAUAUAAGUCAGCUGGCAUUCAGUUGCAUGCCUGUUCAAAACUUUUCGUAUAGAUUCUAGCGAUUAGUACCGGGUCGAUGUGGUUGCCAUUGCCUGAAGCAUGAUAGGUUCUUUGACGGUUCUUUAAUUCCAAGCUCUAAAGAGAUUGUUGUAGACUUACCGUGCAGCGGGAAAUUUUCAUGAGGUGCAACAUUUCGCGUUUUUCGGAGGCAGACAGAAAACGAGAAAAUUAAAAGAUAAACUCUUACGCACCGGUAUUUCACAUUCUUGUGGGUGUGGUUUCCUCAGUGGCGUAGGCAGAGGGGGGCUGACGGGGCUAGAGCCCCCCCCCCCUUGUGCUUCAUCAACUCCAACUCAGCUUGAAUUACCUUGAUCUGUCAAUCUAUUCUGCACUCUACUGCAUGCGUAGCUACUAGAAUGAUGUCAUUCAAUGGAAAUGUGGGCAGGGCCAUGUACUGCGCAUGCUUACUGCUGAUGAAAAGUGAUGACCAGGUAAAAUUCCAAGCUAUUCGCGCCUGCUCUGGUCCUGCUCAAGCCCUGCCCUUCCCAAAAUCCUGGCUAUGCGCCUAUGCCACUGUUCCUGGCAUUGAAAUGCGAAUAUUAGAACCCACGAAAAUUUAUGCUGAGGGCUUUGGAGCCAAAUAGCGAACAUUUCCCGCUGUACGGUAUUAUGAACCGAAUGUAUGAAUCUACUUUAUAAGGUUUUUUUUGUAGCUCCAGAAAACACAGACAUUUUCAGGUGUGAUAGACUACAAUUGUCCAAAUUGGUGACCUAAAGAUGUGGUGUUUUCCUUAUUGACAGGUCAGGACUCAGAAGCACACGUAUUACUAAGCACUGUGAUAAACAAAUAUAUAUCACACCUACGGAGAUAUGCGCCCGGUACUGCAUGUGGUUACUCCAAUUAAGGAGCAGGCUUUAAGAUCAAUACUUGUUCCCACGUAGGAGGAGAAUGAAGUAGGAAAAAGACUGAAGGAACCGAAGGAAAUCGUGACCCACACCCUGAGGCAGUCAAGCAAGAUUACCUCCAGUUAUCAGCAACACUUCGCCUCGGCUGUUGAACUGACCAACCAAAAGAUCUGAUUUGAUUUCGAAAGAACAGAAGACCUGUUGAAUUAUCGAGUUCUGGAUUCUAAGAAAAGAAGUCUCGAGGCUGAGAGGAAAUUUAAGGAGCUCAGUGAAGAAAACAGAAAUGUUUGUUAUGGCGAAACGAUUCAAAUGAUCACAACUCAGAUAUGAGAUGUCGAAGUGUAAAACAUUUUGUUAACUUUCUUGUUUGUAUCCUAUUCAUCUCAUCCACUGUGCAUUCAGUAUUCCACUUGUGUGUAUAGUGUAUACGUAUUUGCUAAGGAGAUAUGUUUGAAUUUGUAAUUUGUACUUCCAUCAUUAUACAUAAUGGCUAUCAAGUGAGUCUUGUUGUUGCCUCUUCAAAGCGUUUUAUAAUAAUAAUAAUAAUAAUAAUAAUCUAUGC